rnacentral:lncRNA from 1 species
UUCUCUCUCUAGUCGUCGGACCCUCCUCAUUCUCUCUAAAAAAAAAUCUCACUUUUCUUCUCUCUUUUCUCUCUCAUUAACUCUUUUUUCACCGACCACCGCCAGAGACCGGCAACACCCCAAUCGACGGCUGUUACUCCCCAACGGUCGGCUCUCCCCAACCGACGGCGUCACUCCCCCAACGAUUGGCUCUCCCCAAUCGGCGGUUGCUGCUCCCCAACGGUCGGCUCUCUAAUCGACGGCGUUGCUCAAAUCGACUUUCCCCAACCGACGGCGUCUCUCCCCUAACGAUCGGCUCCCUCCAACCAACGGCUACUGCUCCCCAACGGUCGGCUCUCCCCAACCGGUGGUUACUGCUCCCCAACGGUCGGCUCUCCAACCGGCGACGUCGCUCAAAUAGGCUUUCCUCAACCGACGACAACCCAAAACUUCCUGAUCUCUCCCAAACGGAAGCCCAAAAACCCUUAAAAAUCUCUCUUCCAACCGACAGCAAGAGCCCCAACUCUCACUGCACACACAUUUUUUGGGUAUUGUUUGAUAUAUUUUUUUGAUUUUUUUGUGGAUUGUUUUUGGCUGUUAGAGAACUAGGAUUUUUUGGUUGCUACUUGUUGCUAUGGUUUUUGCAGGUUGUUUGCUUGCCGAUUGCUCAUCUUUUUGAUUGCUACAGUGGGGCUUUAUACACUCGACUUUUUGGUCGAGUGUAGUGCCUCCACCACCCUGCCAGUCGUACCCCUCUCCCCUUUUUUUUCUUUUUUUUUAUUUUACUUG